rnacentral:rRNA from 1 species
UGGGGAAUAUUGCGCAAUGGGCGAAAGCCUGACGCAGCAACGCCGUGUGAGUGAUGAAGGUCUUCGGAUCGUAAAGCUCUGUCGGCAGGAACGAAGGGUUUUUUGUAUAACACACAAGAAAUUUGACGGUACCUGCAAAGGAAGCACCGGCUAACUCUGUGCCAGCAGCCGCGGUAAUACAGAGGGUGCAAGCGUUGUUCGGAAUCAUUGGGCGUAAAGGGCGCGUAGGCGGUUUUGUAAGUCGGGUGUGAAAUCCCAGGGCUCAACCCUGGAAGUGCAUCCGAAACUGCAAGACUUGAGUAUCGAAGAGGGUGGUGGAAUUCCCAGUGUAGAGGUGAAAUUCGUAGAUAUUGGGAGGAACAUCAGUGGCGAAGGCGGCCACCUGGUCGAUAACUGACGC